UAUGAGUGUGUGUGUGUGUAUGUGUAUGUGUGUGUACACACAUACACAUACACACACACACACUCAUACA
rnacentral:miRNA from 1 species